GGUGACAAUGAUGAGUUGCACUAUUAAACAGGCCGCUGAUGGCGGUGCCACAUCGGCCUGUCUGACACACUGUGGUGACACCCACUGUGCACAGGGGCCAUCUGAGUCACC
ensembl:snoRNA